rnacentral:snoRNA from 1 species
AUUCCAUAAUGGGGACAUUCUAGGAUGUAGUCUUGGAAGCGCUCCCAUGCCUCUGGAACGGAUUCAUCAUGUUGUUGCUGAAAAAACUUGUAAUCUUCCCACGGAGAGC